rnacentral:rRNA from 1 species
UACGGAAGGCAGCAGUGGGGAAUAUUGCACAAUGGGCGAAAGCCUGAUGCAGCUAUGCCGCGUGUAUGAAGAAGGCCUUAGGGUUGUAAAGUACUUUCAUCGGGGAGGAAAAAACAAAACUAAUAAUUUUAUUUCUUGACGUUACCCGAAAAAGAAGCACCGGCUAACUCCGUGCCAGCAGCCGCGGUAAUACGGAGGGUGCUAGCGUUAAUCAGAAUUACUGGGCGUAAAGAGCACGUAGGUGGUUUUUUUAAGUCAGAUGUGAAAUCCCUGGGCUUAACCUAGGAACUGCAUUUUGAAACUGAAAUACUAGAGUAUCGUAGAGGGAGGUAGAAUUCUAGGUGUAGCGGUGAAAUGCGUAGAUAUCUGGAGGAAUACCUGUGGCGAAAGCGGCCUCCUAAACGAAUACUGACACUGAGGUGCGAAAGCGUGGGGAGCGAAACAGGGAUUAGAUA